AACCCCCAGCAGCCGCGGUAAUACGUAGGGCGCGAGCGUUGUCCGGAAUUAUUGGGCGUAAAGACAUCGUUGGCGGUUGGUAGCGUUUACUGUGAAAGACCGGGGUUUAACUCCGGUUUUCCAGUGGGUAUGGGCUAACUAGAGUCCAGUAGGGGAGACUGGAAUUCCUGGUGUAGCGGUGGAAUGCACAGAUAUCAGGAGGAACCCCGAUGGCGAAGGCAGGUCUCCGGGCUGUCACGGACGCUGAGAAGCGAACGCAUGGGGAGCGAACAGC
rnacentral:rRNA from 1 species